rnacentral:rRNA from 1 species
AUACGGAAGGUCCGGGCGUUAUCCGGAUUUAUUGGGUUUAAAGGGAGCGCAGGCGGAGAUGCAAGCGUGACGUCAAAUUUCGGGGCUCAACCCCGUCUCGCGUCGCGAACUGCGUCCCUUGGUUGCGGGAAGGGGAGGCGGAACUCGUGGUGUAGCGGGGAAAUGCAUAGAUAUCACGAAGAACUCCGAUCGCGAAGGCAGCCUUCCGGCCCGUCAACGACGCUCAUGCUCGAAGGUGCGGGUAUCAAAUAGGAUUAGAUACCCUGGUAGUCCGCACAGUAAACGAUGGACACCCGCGGUUUGGCCUAUAUGGCUGAGCCGCCAAGCGAAAGCGUUAAGUGUCCCACCUGGGGAGUACGCCGGCAACGGUGAAACUCAAAUGAAUUGACGGGG